rnacentral:miRNA from 1 species
CCUGGACUCUUUGUAGACCAGACUGGCCUCAAACUCACAGAGAUCUGCCUGCCUCUGCUUUCUGAGAGCUGGCAU